rnacentral:lncRNA from 1 species
GCGCCCUUUUCUCCUUGGCCAGGUCUAGCUCAUAGGAUGGGAAUUUUUUUUUUUUUUUUUUUUUUUUAAAGCAGGUAUUAAGGCUCCUUUCAGUUCCAGAAAAGCUCUCCAACGCAGGAUUUGAGCAGGCACCUUUCGUCUAGUCUGUGUGGGGCCGACACCCAGUUGAAGAAGCAGAAAGUGACCAGCAUCCAGAAGCCAGGAUGGUGCACCUUCAAGGAUUAACAUCAUAGACUAGUCUCGCCUGCACGAACUUAAUCUUAGAGCUCAGCAAAAGUGACUUGAAAAAUGAGAGGAUAUUUGCACAUCCACGGUCACGGCAGCACUGUUUGCCAUUCCUCAG